rnacentral:rRNA from 1 species
CCUACGGGAGGCAGCAGUGGGGAAUUUUGGACAAUGGGCGAAAGCCUGAUCCAGCAAUGCCGCGUGAGUGAAGAAGGCCUUCGGGUUGUAAAGCUCUUUUGUCAGGGAAGAAACGGUGAGGGCUAAUAUCCCUUGCUAAUGACGGUACCUGAAGAAUAAGCACCGGCUAACUACGUGCCAGCAGCCGCGGUAAUACGUAGGGUGCAAGCGUUAAUCGGAAUUACUGGGCGUAAAGCGUGCGCAGGCGGUUUUGUAAGUCUGUCGUGAAAUCCCCGGGCUCAACCUGGGAAUUGCGAUGGAGACUGCAAGGCUAGAAUCUGGCAGAGGGGGGUAGAAUUCCACGUGUAGCAGUGAAAUGCGUAGAGAUGUGGAGGAACACCGAUGGCGAAGGCAGCCCCCUGGGUCAAGAUUGACGCUCAUGCACGAAAGCGUGGGGAGCAAACAGGAUUAGAUACCCUGGUAGUCCACGCCCUAAACGAUGUCUACUAGUUGUCGGGUUUUAAUUAACUUGGUAACGCAGCUAACGCGUGAAGUAGACCGCCUGGGGAGUACGGUCGCAAGAUUAAAACUCAAAUGAAUUGACGG